GGUGAACGCUAGCGGCAGGCUUAAUACAUGCAAGUCGAACGGGAUUGAGAAGCUUGCUUUUCAUGAGAGUGGCGCACGGGUGCGUAAUACGUAUGCAACCUACCUUGUCCAGGGGGAUAGCCCGUUGAAAGACGGAUUAAGACCGCAUAACAUUGAGCUGUGGCAUCACAAAUCAAUCAAAUAUUUAUAGGGACAAGAUGGGCAUGCGCCUGAUUAGGUAGUUGGCGGGGUAAUGGCCCACCAAGCCGACGAUCAGUAGGGGAUCUGAGAGGAUGACCCCCCACACUGGUACUGAGACACGGACCAGACUCCUACGGGAGGCAGCAGUAAGGAAUAUUGGUCAAUGGGCGAAAGCCUGAACCAGCCAUGCCGCGUGCAGGAAGACGGCCCUACGGGUUGUAAACUGCUUUUAUACGGGAAUAACCCCGGUUUCGUGAAACCGGCUGAAUGUACCGUAAGAAUAAGGAUCGGCUAACUCCGUGCCAGCAGCCGCGGUAA
rnacentral:rRNA from 1 species